GGAAAUGCCAACUAAGUAUUUCUUAGUGUGUCAAUAAAAGAUAGUGGAAAAAGAAAACCAAACAAUUAAUUAUGGCCCAUCUCAGGGUUCAUAAUAUAAACUAAGUAUCUUUUUUUUUUGCCCAUGAUUGUCAAGUUUACAAAUUUGAUCUGAAGGCAAAAAAAGGAACAUGGCUGUACAAGAGGUCUAAAAACCCUCACCCAGAACAUGAGCUGAACACAGACAACAACAAUGAAUGUCUUGGAGUGGUCUAGGGAAAGGCUCUGAGGCUUCAACUCUAUACAAAUAAUUGCAAGCAACUAAGGAAUUCUGAGACAGGGAGAAAGUCUUCCUCAGUGAAGAGCACACCAAUUGGUUAUCCAAAACCAAAUGGUCAGGCCUCAAACCAUACACAUACAGACUGAGGAAAUUAUACACAUACUUAUGAACAUGUGUGUGUGUGCGUAUAUAUUAAGAAAUAAAAAUUAGAGGCCAUGACUUUGAAAAGGAGAAUGGAAGGGUAUAUAGGCAGGUUUGAGGGGAGAAAAGAGAAAGGGGGAAAUUGUGUAUCUCUAAAACAUACAAACAAACAAAAAACAACCUAGGCCCAUUCAAAUACACACUGAGAACUAAAUUCAGAUUGAAUACACCUACCACAUCCAUCAUGUAACUGAAACUUGAGAUUCAGAUACUGUUGGGAUGGAUUUAGUACAGGGCUUAGAGUUAAUAGUAAAAAUAAUUAACAGCUGGGCAGUGGUGGCGCACGCCUUUAAUCCCAGCCUCUUGUCCUUUCUAUCUUCAGACCUUCUCUCCAUGGGAACUUUCAAUCUCUUCCCCUUCUCCUCUGUCUCCCUUCCCAAGGCUGUUUCCCUGAUCUGUGAUCUUGCCUCCCCUGCCAAAAGCAGUUUCCAAAUAAACCUGAGAUAUAGAUAGAUAGAUAGAUAGAUAGAUAGAUAGAUAGACAGACAGAUAGGUAGAUAGGUCCCUGAUCUGGCUUGAAUUAGCUCAUUUUACCGUGAAGGAAUAACUUAUCAGAGACUUCAUAUGAUAAGGCGAUGCAAACCUUUUCUCUCCCUUCUGCCUCAUCUCCAUGCUCAAAUUUAGAAAAGAAACAAUUGUAGACACCACCCAGGAUUAAGCUAAACCCAGUCACCUGGAAUUUAGUAAAUGACUCCUUGUUGGAGGCAGGGGAGGUGGGAUAUAUGACAGCAUUUAUUCUACUCACAAGAAAACUACAGUUCAGAGUUGAGUUUCUCUGUGCAACUCUGACUGGGGAGACCAUAAGUGUCACUCUUCUUAUCUGUACUACUGUUUUCCUAUAUCCGAGGCACGUGGAAUGCCCCAGUCUUCAUUUACUACAUACUCACUGAGAGCCAAGUGUUAGGCAUUGCGUUUGCUUCCGUCAUAUCCAAACACUACUGUAAAAUGUGACAAAAGAGACAGGAAAAAGCUUUUGUAUAUCUCUCGAAAUUCCUUAAACAAGGCGUCCAGAAAUGUCAAGGAAAGUAGCAGAUAAAACAGGCCCAGUUUGAAGUGGUCUCUUCCCACUACCUCACAGGGAAA
ensembl:lincRNA Gm26522 predicted gene, 26522